rnacentral:rRNA from 1 species
UGAACGCUGGCGGUAGGCCUAACACAUGCAAGUCGAACGGCAGCACAGUAAGAGCUUGCUCUUACGGGUGGCGAGUGGCGGACGGGUGAGGAAUACAUCGGAAUCUACUUUUUCGUGGGGGAUAACGUAGGGAAACUUACGCUAAUACCGCAUACGACCUACGGGUGAAAGCAGGUGAUCUUCGGACCUUGCGCGAUUGAAUGAGCCGAUGUCGGAUUAGCUAGUUGGCGGGGUAAAGGCCCACCAAGGCGACGAUCCGUAGCUGGUCUGAGAGGAUGAUCAGCCACACUGGAACUGAGACACGGUCCAGACUCCUACGGGAGGCAGCAGUGGGGAAUAUUGGACAAUGGGCGCAAGCCUGAUCCAGCCAUACCGCGUGGGUGAAGAAGGCCUUCGGGUUGUAAAGCCCUUUUGUUGGGAAAGAAAAGCAGCAGGUUAAUACCCCGCUGUUCUGACGGUACCCAAAGAAUAAGCACCGGCUAACUUCGUG